rnacentral:lncRNA from 1 species
UGGUAGAGCUGGUAAUAAUUUCCCUAAGCCAAUGUCAUGGUAUUGUUGGAGGUGACCUGGAUAUUCUUGUUCCAUCCACAGGCUCGUUCCCUAAUCCUGGCUAACAGACAGCAUUGGAAGUGUUGGGGAGUUCAGCUCCAGCCUGGGGUGUGUCCAGCAGUUGCUACAGAGGUGGCAGGUGGGGACCCCUGUCCUACCCCUCUUCACCUGCCUAAAGGGGCCAAUGUUCCCAGUGGAUGCUCAGCUUUGUCCUCACCAGUCCCACCGUGGCCAUCCUGCCCCUGGAGAGCCCACAGCCCCAAAACCUCUGCAGCACCUGGGGAGUGUUGUCAGGAGGGUGCCCAGAUUUCAUCCACCCAGUCCCAGGAGGUGAAGAAAGUGAUGGGAGGACUUUCAGUCCCAGAGAAUCUGUGUUGGUGGAGCCAGUGGACUGAGCAAGGCCCGUUGGAGUUCUUGGUGUCUCUGAGCCGCUGGUGGGCCGAAGGAUGGUCCUUCAGCUCCCCAGGGCUGUUUGCAGGCACAGCCCAGUCCCAAGGUGCUGCAGGGAACCAGGGCCUGGAGGAGGCUGGGGAAGCUGAGAGGAAAUGCUGCAUCCAAAGCCAUGAAACAUCCAGGAGUUCCACAGUGAGGGAUCACAGGUGCUCUCCAGACUGGGGCAAUGCCAAGGGCUGGAGAUGAGACACGGUGGCAGAAGUGCUGCUGGAGGUGCCGGUGUGAUACCCAGCAAUUUCCCACUGCAUCCCAGCAAUUCCAGCCUCUGGUCAUUUGUAAAUAUAAAUUCACGGUGGAAAACCUGAUUUGCAGAAGUCUGCUCACGUAAUGAGAAGACAAACAGGAGCAUCCAGCCUCUCUGUGCCCCCUCUGGUCAGGAUGGCUCAAACCUGGAGCCCAAAUCCCGGUGCUGGAAGGCUCAGGGCCUCUGAACCCAGCUCCUGCUGGCUCCAGUUCCACCGACGUCAGCACGACAUCCUCGGCAGAGAAUCUGCUCCCCAGAAUUAUUCCAAGCAAUUGUUUAGUGAAUAAUUCUGAAUAAUGAAAAUGCAGAGGGGAGGAAUGGGGAAGUUGUUUGCUGUUGAUUCACAAAAGAGGAGAAAUGGAGGAAUUUAUCAUGUCAAUGAUUUUCCUAUGAAUUAUUCAUUCACUUCACACAACAAAAUAAAAAUCCCUUUCCCCCCA